CAUAAACAUUGUGUUUAAAUUUCAUUGAUUUCUAUUUACUUAAACUAAAGUUAUUGUGCGAAAACCAAGAAUAAUGCUUAUUUGGGCCCUUUUUUGGCCCCUUAAUUCCUAAACUGUUGAAACCAAAACUCCCAAAAUCAAUCCCAACCUUUCUUUUGUGGUCAUAAACCUUGUGUCAAAAUUUCAUAGAUUUCUAUUAACUUAAACUAAAGUUAUAGUGCGAAAACCAAGAAAAUGCUUAUUUGGGCCCUUUUUGGCCCCUAAUUCCUAAAAUGUUGGGACCAAAACUCCCAAAAUCAAUACCAACCUUCCUUUUGUGGUCAUAAACCUUGUGUUAAAAUUUCAUAGAUUUCU
rnacentral:lncRNA from 1 species